rnacentral:rRNA from 1 species
UACGUAGGGUGCAAGCGUUGUCCGGAAUUAUUGGGCGUAAAGAGCUCGUAGGCGGUCUGUCGCGUCUGCUGUGAAAACUCAGGGCUUAACCCUGAGCUUGCAGUGGGUACGGGCAGACUAGAGUGCGGUAGGGGAGACUGGAAUUCCUGGUGUAGCGGUGAAAUGCGCAGAUAUCAGGAGGAACACCGGUGGGCGAAGGCGGGGUCUCUGGGCCGUAACUGACG